ACUGCGGGAGGCAGCAGUGGGGAAUAUUGCACAAUGGGCGCAAGCCUGAUGCAGCCAUGCCGCGUGUAUGAAGAAGGCCUUCGGGUUGUAAAGUACUUUCAGCGGGGAGGAAGGCGAUAAGGUUAAUAACCUUGUUGAUUGACGUUACCCGCAGAAGAAGCACCGGCUAACUCCGUGCCAGCAGCCGCGGUAAUACGGAGGGUGCAAGCGUUAAUCGGAAUUACUGGGCGUAAAGCGCACGCAGGCGGUCUGUCAAGUCGGAUGUGAAAUCCCCGGGCUCAACCUGGGAACUGCAUUCGAAACUGGCAGGCUAGAGUCUUGUAGAGGGGGGUAGAAUUCCAGGUGUAGCGGUGAAAUGCGUAGAGAUCUGGAGGAAUACCGGUGGCGAAGGCUGCCCCCUGGACAAAGACUGACGCUCAGGUGCGAAAGCGUGGGGAGCAAACAGGAUUAGAUACCCCAGUAGUCCC
rnacentral:rRNA from 1 species